CCUACGGGAGGCAGCAGUAAGGAAUAUUGGUCAAUGGACGCAAGUCUGAACCAGCCAUGCCGCGUGAAGGAUUAAGGCCCUCUGGGUUGUAAACUUCUUUUAUAGGGGACGAAAAAAGGGCAUUCUUGCUCACUUGACGGUACCCUAGGAAUAAGCACCGGCUAACUCCGUGCCAGCAGCCGCGGUAAUACGGAGGGUGCAAGCGUUAUCCGGAUUUACUGGGUUUAAAGGGUGCGUAGGUGGGUUGGUAAGUCAGUGGUGAAAUCUUCGAGCUUAACUCGGAAACUGCCAUUGAUACUAUCAAUCUUGAAUCAUCUAGAGGUAAGCGGAAUAUGUCAUGUAGCGGUGAAAUACUUAGAUAUGACAUAGAACACCAAUUGCGAAGGCAGCUUACUAUGGAUGCAUUGACACUGAGGCACGAAAGCGUGGGGAUCAAACAGGAUUAGAUACCCUGGUAGUCCACGCCCUAAACGAUGGAUACUCGACAUUUGUGAUAUACAAUAAGUGUCUGAGNGAAGANAUAUAUACCACCUAGGAGUACGACCGCGAGUAGUAACGACAAGUAGAGUUAGACGCGUGAGACGUAGACCGACGGACGACGACGAGGGGAGGAGG
rnacentral:rRNA from 1 species